rnacentral:rRNA from 1 species
CCCUUAGAUGUUCUGGGCAGCACGCGCGCUACAAUGGUCUUCGCAAACGGAUGCAUUCUCGAAGGAGAAUGCCAAUCUUGGAAUCUAUGCCUUGGUCGGGACAGUUGCUUGCAAUUUUUCGACUCGAACCAGGUAUUCCUUGUAAUCGUGAUUCAUCACAUCACGAUGAAUACGUCCCUGCCCUUUGUACACACCGCCCGUCGCUCCUACCGAUCGAAGAGUUAGGUGAAUUGUUUUGAUCGAUAAGAUUUGACUAUGGUCAACUCUCGUUGUGAAAUUCUGUGAAUCUGACUGUUUAGAGGAAGGAAAAGUCGUAACA